rnacentral:rRNA from 1 species
ACGGAGAGUUUGAUCCUGGCUCAGGAUGAACGCUAGCGAGAGGCCUAACACAUGCAAGUCGAGGGGUAACGGGGGAGCUUGCUCCCGCCGACGACCGGCGCACGGGUGAGUAACGCGUAUGCAACCUGCCCGUCACAGGGGGAUAGCCUUCCGAAAGGGAGAUUAAGACCGCAUGAGACCACGCCCCGGCAUCGGGGAGGGGUUAAAUAUUCAUAGGUGGCGGAUGGGCAUGCGUGACAUUAGGUAGUUGGUGGGGCAACGGCCCACCAAGCCGACGAUGUCUAGGGGAACUGAGAGGUUGAUCCCCCACACUGGUACUGAGACACGGACCAGACUCCUACGGGAGGCAGCAGUGAGGAAUAUUGGUCAAUGGGCGGAAGCCUGAACCAGCCAUCUCGCGUGCAGGACUACGGCCCUACGGGUCUUAAACUGCUUUUAUGGGGGGAUAAAGUCGGGCAUGCGUGUCCGUUUGCAGGUACCCCAUGAAUAAGGAUCGGCUAACUCCGUGCCAGCAGCCGCGGUAAUACGGAGGAUCCGAGCGUUAUCCGGAUUUAUUGGGUUUAAAGGGUGCGCAGGCGGCCCGUUAAGUCAGCGGUGAAAUGUCGGGGCUCAACCCGGGCACUGCCGUUGAAACUGGCGAGCUUGAGUACGGAUGAAGUCGGCGGAAUGUGAUGUGUAGCGGUGAAAUGCUUAGAUAUGUCACAGAACACCGAUUGCGAAGGCAGCUGACUAAUCCGCAACUGACGCUCAGGCACGAAAGCGUGGGGAUCGAACAGGAUUAGAUACCCUGGUAGUCCACGCAGUAAACGAUGAAUGCUAGCUGUUUGCGAUACACUGUAAGUGGCUAAGGGAAACCGAUAAGCAUUCCACCUGGGGAGUACGCCGGCAACGGUGAAACUCAAAGGAAUUGACGGGGGCCCGCACAAGCGGAGGAACAUGUGGUUUAAUUCGAUGAUACGCGAGGAACCUUACCCGGGCUUGAAAGUUAGUGCCGGACCUGGAAACAGGUCUUUCCGCAAGGACACGAAACUAGGUGCUGCAUGGUUGUCGUCAGCUCGUGCCGUGAGGUGUCGGCUCAAGUGCCAUAACGAGCGCAACCCUUGUCUUCAGUUGCCAGCGGGUCAAGCCGGGGACUCUGGAGAGACUGCCACCGCAAGGUGUGAGGAAGGGGGGGAUGACGUCAAAUCAGCACGGCCCUUACGUCCGGGGCGACACACGUGUUACAAUGGCCGGUACAGAGAGAAGCGAAGCGGUGACGCCUAGCAGACCCCAGAAAGCCGGCCCCAGUACGGAUUGGAGUCUGCAACCCGACUCCAUGAAGCUGGAUUCGCUAGUAAUCGCGCAUCAGCCAUGGCGCGGUGAAUACGUUCCCGGGCCUUGUACACACCGCCCGUCAAGCCAUGAAAGUCUGAAGCGCCUAAAGUCCGUGACCGCAAGGAGCGGCCUAGGGCGAGUCAGGUAAUUGGGGCUAAGUCGUAACAAGGUAGCCGUACCGGAAGGUGCGGCUGGAACACCUCCUU